rnacentral:rRNA from 1 species
UACGGAGGAUGCAAGCGUUAUCCGGAAUGAUUGGGCGUAAAGCGUCCGCAGGUGGCUAUGUAAGUCUGCUGUUAAAGAGCAAGGCUCAACCUUGUAAAGGCAGUGGAAACUACAUGGCUAGAGUGCGUUCGGGGCAGAGGGAAUUCCUGGUGUAGCGGUGAAAUGCGUAGAGAUCAGGAAGAACAACCGGUGGCGAAAGCGCUCUGCUAGGCCGCAACUGACACUGAGGGACGAAAGCUAGGGGAGCGAAUGGG